AUGCACGGCUGGGUUUCCAGGAGCUCUGCUGUUUGCCGGGGCUGUGCUGGGGAAGGAAGAGGGAGGGAAGGCCGGAGAGGUGACCCGUGCCCCCGGUGGGUUUGGAGAAGAGAACAUGGGGCCAACACCUGGACAAAACACACAGAUCCACACGUCCAGGCUGUUAUGUCACGGCAAACCAAAGGGACUCUGGUUGAACAUCAUGCAAGGCAUGGCCAGUGCCGGGGCCUGGAUGUUUUUGGCUCCAACACCCACCUUUUUUCUCUGGAAAGCCAGUGGAUGGAGGACUCGCAGCCAGCGUCCCAGCGGCAGGGUCAUGAAAAGGGGUUUUCCUGGGAAAAUAGCUACCACAACAUCAGCCAGCUGGGAUUGCUUCCCUUUAAAUCUCUUUGCGUGGGAGGCUCAGCUCGGAGAAAUCCAGCCGGCAGAGGCCCCUUUGGUGGCCUCAGACCAGCCACCUUCGCUGUGACAGCGUGUUCUGGUGGCACCCUUCCUGGGGGCAGCGAGGAAGAGUUUCAUGGGUCUCUGAAGGGGGGCGAGAAGGCACCAAGCUGGCUGCUUGGGCCGCUCUGCAGCCAGCCCCUGCACCGGGAGGCCGGGGGGCAUGGGGAGCAGAGGCGGAGGGGUGCCACCCAGCCCUGCCACCUCGCCCCGGGACGCCAACCGAGCGCCCUGCAGACACUUGCCACGCGUCCCCAGACGAGGGCACUCCCAGACCAGUGCAUGCAAUGGGAAACGCUCUGCUCUGCAGCGAAGCCACCCGUGGGGCCACCUCCCCGCCGAGGGCUUGGCCCCGGCGUGGUCUGGGCACCCUCACUCGGGUCCUGCCGUGGAGCUGCCCAUGGAGAAGCCGCACGGUCCGGAAUGAGGAGUGCCGGAGGCUCGUGCCUCCUGCAGCCUGCCCCAAAACCCACCUUUGGCAGCCCACACCGCAUGGUCUCCAGCCCCAGCCCCUUGCACCUACUGCCUCCUGCCCUGUCCAGCGCCAGGCAGGGCUCUUCCUGGGCCCCGGCAGCCGGCAAAAUGCUAGAGCUGAAUUCAGCUCUGUCAUUUCAGGAGCUGCCGUCUCCCUCGGGUUUGUUAAGUGCCGGAUUUCCCAUGCGGCAGCUGCAAAAGCCCCGCUAG
rnacentral:lncRNA from 1 species